CAGGCCUAACACAUGCAAGUCGAACGGCAGCACGGACUUCGGUCUGGUGGCGAGUGGCGAACGGGUGAGUAAUGUAUCGGAACGUGCCCAGUAGCGGGGGAUAACUACGCGAAAGCGUAGCUAAUACCGCAUACGCCCUACGGGGGAAAGCAGGGGAUCGUAAGACCUUGCACUAUUGGAGCGGCCGAUAUCGGAUUAGCUAGUUGGUGGGGUAACGGCUCACCAAGGCGACGAUCCGUAGCUGGUUUGAGAGGACGACCAGCCACACUGGGACUGAGACACGGCCCAGACUCCUACGGGAGGCAGCAGUAGGGAAUUUUGGACAAUGGGGGAAACCCUGAUCCAGCCAUCCCGCGUGUGCGAUGAAGGCCUUCGGGUUGUAAAGCACUUUUGGCAGGAAAGAAACGUCAUGGGUUAAUACCCCGUGAAACUGACGGUACCUGCAGAAUAAGCACCGGCUAACUACGUGCCAGCAGCCGCGGUAAUACGUAGGGUGCAAGCGUUAAUCGGAAUUACUGGGCGUAAAGCGUGCGCAGGCGGUUCGGAAAGAAAGAUGUGAAAUCCCAGAGCUUAACUUUGGAACUGCAUUUUUAACUACCGGGCUAGAGUGUGUCAGAGGGAGGUGGAAUUCCGCGUGUAGCAGUGAAAU
rnacentral:rRNA from 1 species